AUUGAACGCUAGCGGGAUGCUUUACACAUGCAAGUCGAACGGCAGCGCGGACUUCGGUCUGGCGGCGAGUGGCGAACGGGUGAGUAAUGUAUCGGAACGUGCCCAGUAGCGGGGGAUAACUACGCGAAAGCGUAGCUAAUACCGCAUACGCCCUACGGGGGAAAGCAGGGGAUCGUAAGACCUUUCACUAUUUGAGCGGCCGAUAUCGGAUUAGCUAGUUGGUGAGGUAACGGCUCUCCAAGGCUACGAUCCGUAGCUGGUUUGAGAGGACGACCCGAUAGAUGGGGUGUGAGACAGGGCAGAGACUCCUGCGGGAAGACGCAGUCGGGACUCUUGGACGAUGGAGGAGAGGCUGAUACAGCACUCCCGGGGGUGGGAUGAAGCAGCUCGGCUGGGAAAGUACUGUAGGCAGGAGGGAAACGUAGCGCGCUUAUACGGCGUGAAAAUGACGGUACCGGGAGAAUAAGCACCGGCUAACUACGUG
rnacentral:rRNA from 1 species